rnacentral:rRNA from 1 species
CCUACGGGAGGCUGCAGUGGGGAAUUUUGGACAAUGGGGGCAACCCUGAUCCAGCAAUGCCGCGUGUGUGAAGAAGGCCUUCGGGUUGUAAAGCACUUUUGUGAAACGGUCGGUACCUGAAGAAUAAGCACCGGCUAACUACGUGCCAGCAGCCGCGGUAAUACGUAGGGUGCAAGCGUUAAUCGGAAUUACUGGGCGUAAAGCGUGCGCAGGCGGUUAUGCAAGACAGAUGUGAAAUCCCCGGGCUUAACCUGGGAACUGCAUUUGUGACUGCAUAGCUAGAAUAUGGCAGAGGGGGGUAGAAUUCCACGUGUAGCAGUGAAAUGCGUAGAUAUGUGGAGGAAUACCGAUGGCGAAGGCAGCCCCCUGGGCUAAAUUGACGCUCAUGCACGAAAGCGUGGGGAGCAAACAGGAUUAGAUACCCUUGUAGUC